AUGAAGUGUCCAAUUGAAGGAUGUACAGCCGGGAGGUUUACCCCCAAAUGUAAAAACGCUAGGCACUGGACAGAAAAGCACGUGCAGACAAGCAUAAAAUACCACUGCAGUGUUAGGAAUUAUACGGUCACAUGCAGGAGAAGAUACGACAUGAAAACACACCUUAAGGAAGUCCACAGAGGAGAAGAUGGGUUAAGAGUAGAAAAUCUUACUUGCAAGUGUGACAAAACUGUCAUGAAGAACAGGGGAUAUAUUGAUCCAGGGUUCCUAAUAUUUAAAGGCAGAACUAUUAAAUCAGUUCCGUCUACUGCUUCCUCGACGUCCUCGUGUCCACCUGUUCAGUCCACCAUCAAUACCUCAUCUAUUGCCACAACCAACACUACAACUACAUCCACUGCUGUGUCUAACUCCAUUCCUACUGUCCCGUAUUUUUCAUCUCUCUUUGCUGCCACUACAAACACAUCUGUUUUUCAAGAAGGACCAGAGUAUACAGUCACCGAGCCUUCCAAAAAUCCAUCCAGUAAGUCUUCAAGAUUACCGUCACCGGGAAAAUGCUCCAUCUAUACUACCGCCUCUGACAUUAGAAUCAUAGAUUGUAACACAUCUUUCGGUAUUGCUGCCAACUCACAGUUUACAGAUGGAUCUUGCCAAACAUCAAGUUUGGAGCUACAACCACUUGUUUUAUCGCCUUUCCCCCAAGCCAAAGAGGAAUUAGAGGGAUACAUACGAUGGUUGUGUCUUGGUAUCGAUCAGUUUUUUCAAGACAUGGUGACUAAUGUGUUACUGAACACAUUAGGUCUUAAGGGGAGGGGAGUAAAAUGGUGGUCGCUUUCGCUAGAUGUCUCCUUUAUUCAUAUAAUAUCAUUCUACUCAUAUCUAUUUAUCUUUAUUGUAUUUAUAUAGUUUCCCAUGGGCGCAGCCAAUAGUACUUAUCCAAAGCUAUGGUGUGAAGGAUAAUGUAUACCUAUAUAUAAAUCUGGAGAUAUAAAUAACCCUGAAAAUUACAGAGGUAUAGCUAUAAAUUCUUGUAUUAUAAAUAAAAUAAACUUCUGUAAGCAUAUUUUAGGCUUAAAUAAUAAAAGUACAAAUGUUGCUGUACAAUCAGAAUUAGGUAGAUUUCCUAUAUAUUUUAAUAUUGUUAUAUCUAUGAAAAGUCUUAGAUAAAAAAAAAAACCAUAAUUAUUCUAGUAAUAAAUUAAAACAACUUAUUAUAAAAAAGUUAAAGACAUUAUUUUUAAAAGCAUGGUUCAAUUAUAAAGAUAAUAAUAAUUUUUUAAAUGUGAUAAUUAUUUAUUAUUUAAGAAAAACAUAUACUUAAAAAGUUAAGUAAUUUUCUUAUCCAAAGUUUUGAAUUGAGAUCUACAAAUUCUGUUAAUGGGUAAAUCGCUUUUAGUUUAUCCAUAUAUAUAUUUUAAAUUCAAAAAUUAAAUUUAAAUACACAUUUCUCUGUCUGUGUGUAUGCAUAUUUCAUCUAUUAAUAUGUAAAUGCUUAUAUUUGCAUUAAUAAACUGCAGUCAAAUCUCUAAGGUGCUUAUCAUAUUCUUGCAAUUGUGAAAGAAAUAUUAUAUACAUAAAUAGCCAGUAAUUGGUUGCUGUGUGAGAAAUUGCCCUAAAAAUAUAUCUAAUCAGUUGGGGCUGCAUUUCAUUUUUAUGCAUCUCAAAACACCAUAUCUGUUUAAAGGGGAUAAAAACUUAGAAAAAUUGAUUGUCUCCCAUAUUACUUUCUCUUCCAUGUGCAUGCAAUAACUGUUCAGUGUUCUAUUGUCAUGUUUUUCAUUUUAUUAUUUCAUUGUUAUAACACAAAGAAUUGUAAUCAUUGUAUAAAAUUUAAAACCCGCAAAGGUCCAUAACUGGAUUAAUAAAGUAUUCUUAUUUUUAUUCUUAUAAAAAGUUCAGCAUAUGGAAACCAAGUUAUGGCAGAAGCUAGAUGUGUUGCAGGAAACAGUAACAUUAUGACAGUGUUACCUCCAAUCCUAAAAGACAGAUAUAUUGCAGAGUUCAUCAAGGCUACUUCAGUAAAAUCACUUUUGAAUGGAGGGUGAGAGAGACACUAUUUAGAAGUUUUGAAGAAAUUAGAAUGGACGUGUCUUUUCCAUCGUCAUUUCAGUCAGUUUUGGAUGAUGCAAAAUGUAUUGUUGACGGUUUCAAAACAGAUUCACUAAACUUUUUAUAUCGUGUUUUAUCAGACAAUUUUCUGUAGAGGUUUUGAAAGAAAUUAUUAAGAAAAAGAUAACACAACUUAAAGAUGAGAAUAAUUCUGAAGGAACACCUGAAUCUUGCAGUUGAGUAAUAAUGAUAGCAAGGUGUUAUAUUUAGUGGCUGGAUAUAUUAUCUUUGCUUUGAAAAGAAAAUGUUCCAGGUACAAAAAUGAUAAGUGCAAGAAUGCCAUUGCUUUGUUGAAGUAUUUAAUUCAGACAAUCAAUUCUUGUUCCAAACUAUAUGUUGUGAGACACUCGGACUGGUUAGAGAAGAUUAAUAGAGGUGGAUUAAUAUACCCAGCAGAUGAUUUCCUUUUAUUAAUUAAAGAGAUGGAAAUUAUAAUGAGAAAGAAUAUUAACAUGAAAAAACUGUCAUUCAAUUCACUCAGUAAAAGUGUAAUGACUGAACAUAUCAGUGCUUCCUACAUGGUUCACUACUACUGGGAUAGUCUAUGUGCAGAAUCAGGAGACUUUGUAAAACUGUUUGUUCUUGAGCUUAUUAUCAAUUUGUUUCUCACUAUUCGCUCUUUUGCACUUUUGAAACAUAUGAAAGCUAAGUAUGAGCAAGGACAGGGAUCAAACAGAGGGAAAAUCACUACGAAAGAAAAAAUCUGUGAAUGUCUAGGAACUAUAAUAUAUCAUAACGUGUAACUUUGCAAUAUACAUGUCAUGUAUUAUGGACAAUGUCUCUGUCGGAGUCAUUGCUGUGUUAUUUUGUUGAUAAUGUGUCAAUUUGUGUCUCUUUCGUACAUCGUUGACAUAUAUGGUUAUUAAUAAUAAAAUUCUAUGUUGUAAAACUAUUUUACUUUUAUAACCAUGCUUACGUUUUUUAUUUAUACAUAUAAAGAUGGUUUUAUUUGAACAUUUACAAUGUUUACAGUUGUGGUUGGCUUUGAUAUCUAGCUUUCAUUACAUGUGUACAGUUGACUUGGGGCUACCAUUUUAUCCGUUCUUUAUAUCUGGUUUGAAAUUUUUCAGGUUCAUUGUAUAACUAAAAUUGCGAUAGGGUAGUUUUUUCUCAUUGUUGAAGACCAAACAGUGACGUAGUAAAUUGUGUAAAUGAUUUUAUAUAUAUAUAUACAAUUUAUAUACAUGUAUGUUGUAUAUACAUUCAUUGUUUGAACUCUUGUGUAUAAUUGUUUCAUUGACAGUCAUACAACAUCUCAUAGUUUGUAUCACUCAAUGUCAAUACUUCCUUUUUUCAGGUGGACUCAAUCAGCGGAACUUGAGUGCCAAAAACUUAAAAUACUGUCAACAAAAUCCAGUACUAUUUAAGAUAUAUGAACAAUAUUUUAAUAUUGUACGUGAUUUAAAUGGAAAUUUUUUUAUAGGAACCAGAUAAAGGAGGUAUUAAUUUUGGUGAACAGUCAGUAGGGGUCAACAAAUUGUCUAAUAUCAUGAAAACCAUGUGUGCAGAAACAGGAAUAGAUAGGUAUUUCACUAACCACUCUGGUAAAAGGACAUGUGCCACAGCACUAUAUCAGGCAGGAGUCCAGAACAAGAAAUAAUGAACAGGACAGGCCAUAGGUCAGUCGAGAGUGUUAGUAAAGAUAAAAGGGCUUCCAGUGAGAUGUUAAAGGAUAUCUCAAAUAUCCUUGAGCCAAUUGAAAGCAUGUGCAAGAAAAUUAAACAUGAAGGCAACACAGAAAUACAAAAUCGCACUGAAAAUCAAGAAACAUCAAAACGUGCCGCAGGAGGCGUUGAAAAAAAUUAAAAUUACAAAAAUACUGAACUUAGAGGAAAAACAAUUCUAUAAAAUCCAUAAUCACAUGGCUAAAUCAAAUAACAAAACGCAUCAAAACGAAUGGACAAGAACUGUCAUAUGGAAGUUUGUUCACUGGAUGUGUGUUAAAUUUUAAUAGUGGAAGUUAAAUAUAUUUGUGAUUAUUUCAGUUUUUGAGGAUUAUGUGGUGUAUUUUAUUCAAAGGUAUAUAUUCAUUUUUGAAUUACAUCCUUUUUAGUAUUGAAAAUAUGCAUAAUGGAAUUUAUGCAUUUUGUUUUGUAGUGAAAUUACCAGUGUGCCAUUCUCGAGGAUUAGAGGAUUUAAUAUUUGGCUUCUAGUUUCACAUUUUAUUAGAAUAAUACAGUUAUUUAAAUUCGUUUUUGUAGUAUUUAAGAAAAAGAAAGGAUAUGGGGAUAUUGCCACAAUGAGACAACAACCCAACACUAUAGUUUUAGUAAAAAUUUAGAGUUGAAAAAUAUUACAGGAAAAAAAUGUUACAUUGUAGGUUCUGGCUAAAAACCUAUAAAUUGAAUGUUUAAAGUUAAAAUCCACAUUUGGUUGCUGAUUUUUUAAACGAUUGAUUGUUUGUUGCUUUACGUCCAGAGGCAAAUAUUUCAUGCAUGUUCUACAUUUAAAACAAAUCAUAAAUUAAUCUUUCAGUUUUUGUUAUUUGUUUAUGUUCGUAACGAAGACACUUGUAAACUUAAUGUGCUGUGUGUCUUUUGUUACGAACAUAACUGAAACUGAGAUAUGGUUCGAACUAAAUGUUUAAAAAGUUGAAAGAGCAUUUUAAAUUGUUUGUUUUCUAUAGUAAAGUGCCCAUUUAAAAAAAGAUCAUAUGUAUUUUAAGUAUUGUGUUAUUUGUUUAUGUUCGUUAUGUUUGGUACUUUGUUGUAUGUUGAAUGUUCAAAAGUUGAAAUAAGAAUUAAAAUGAUUAUUUUCUAAAGUAAAAUGUCCAUUUAAAAAAAAAAGAUCAUAUGUAUUUUAAGUAAUGUGUUAUUUGUUUAUGUGCGUAACAAAAACACUUUAAAACUAAAUUUGGUGUAUGUCCUUUGCUACGAACAUAACAGAAACUGAGGAAUGUUUGAAUUGAAUGUUUAAAAGUUCAGAAUUUAAAUAGGUUUUUUUUAAGUAAAGUCUCCAUUUAAAAAAAAAAGAUCAUAUGUAUUUUAAGUAUUGUGUUAUUUGUUUAUGUUCAAAACAAGGACACUUUGAAAGUGUGUCCUUUGUAAUGAAAAUAAGAAAAACUCAGAAAUGAUGUGAAAUAAACGAUUAAAGAAGGAAAUCAGAUUUGAAUUAUUUAUUUUUAAAAGUAAAUUCCAAAUUUGAUUGUCUGUUGUUACGAACAUAAAAAAAAAUCUGUAAUAAACUAUUUUGAGAAAACAAAUAAUUUCUGAAUGAGGUUUGAUAUAUAUUAUAAUUAUGUAGCCCGUCCUGAUGAAUAUUUGUAGGAAAAAAAAAAUUUAUCAAAUGCAUUUCUAAGUUCAUUACAAAAUAACAGAGACGCAUCUAUUACUAGGCCCGCCAUGGGUGGGAGUCCUUAGGUAAUUAGCUGAUCUGUCCUGGAUUUUUGUUGUUGUUAGUUUUUCCAUAUUCCACUUUCAGAAAUUCUAUGCUCACGGUGAAACCUAUACACGCAUAAAAUAAAAUGUAUAUAUUGUAAAAAUACAAAAUUGUGAUCGAUCAUUACUGAAAAUAUUAUAACUAUUUGUAGGCACCAAACAAAGACAACACAGGCAGUAUAAAUAUGCACGUAAAACUCUCACCAAAAUCGAAAAACAGAUAUGCUCUAAAAGCAUUCCGAGAAAGAAUUAAGCUAGAUGAAACAUUAUACAAAAAAUAUAGGCAGUUUGAAACAUUAAGGGUAAAAGCAUUUAGAGGAAAUAUGUCUCAACAGACAAGAAUAAACAGAUUUAGAAUGAAAAAAUACAGACAAAAAAAGAAAAGCGAAUGAGACACUGCAAGUCACCCAAAACCAAUCAAAGCACUGUAAGCGCUAUAAACAAGGCCAAGGGUGCAGGGGUCCCAGCCACAUAAAAAAGUUGACCAUGCACCCAAAACUCUAAAGUAUGAUGGAAAAUCAAAUUGGAAAGCCUUCUAUGUGAAAUUUUCACGUAACGCGGAGGUAUAUGAAUGGUCCCCUCAAGAGUGUAAGGAUCAAAUUUGUUGGUGCUUAGAGGGUAAGGCCAGCGAAUACUACGCAAUGUUGACCGAUCGAAAUAAACACAUGUCAUUCACGGAUAUGAUCGAAAAGUUCGAAAAGCGUUUCGGAUAUAAAGAGUUGCCUGAAACUGCUCAGGUCCAAUUUCAGAUUGCCCGUCAACAGGCAGACGAAAAUCUGGAAGACUGGGCUGACAGGGUUCUUUCCCUUGCUACAAAGGCAUUCAGGGACCUACCUGAGGAUCACAUGUACCAGCAGGCGGUCCUCAGGUUGUGUCAGGGGGUGUCUGAUAAGGAGGCGGGGACUGCAGCCUCGAAUGUCCGUCCAAAAAGUAUUGAGGAGGCCAUUGAUAAAAUGAGAUGGUUCCAACACAACCAACAGGCUAUUUAUGGUAGGGGUCCUAAAAGGGAAGUGAGACAGACAAGUCUUAAUAGGGGGUACCCGUAUGAACAGGAAGUAACUGUUUCAGCUACCACUUUACCAUCUAAGAGGGACUCAGAGACCCCUUGGAAAGCAGACAUAGAGAGGGUAGAAGACAAAAUUGACAAGAUGCAAUCAGACUUACUGUCUGAACUUAAAAAGAUUGCAAUUCCAGCCCCUGCUCCUAGCCAACCAUCAGGGAGAAAUCACUCUCCAGCUAGGAUGGAAUGUUAUAGCUGUGGGUCCCAAAACCAUUUUAAGCGGGAUUGCCCAAAACUUCGGAGGUCGCCUUCCCGCAGUCCAUCCCCCGGGUCACGGGGAAAUUGCUUUCAUUGUGACCGUCCUGGGCAUAUGAAGAGGGAUUGUCCCAUGAGAAAUAGGGAAAAAGCUGUGACUUUCGCAGACCAGGUUAGAUCUGCCUCCAAGGAGGCUUUAAACAUGAACGGAGCUGCUCGAGAGGCCGGAGUCAGUUCCAAAUAGAUACAGGUCUCAAUAAGGGCGAAACCACAAAUAGUUGGGUUAGGGAAGUAGUAGAGAACCCCACAGACAAGGAUGUUCCAGCCAUGAAUGUAACAUCUAGAGGCAACAUUGUUGAUAGUGGGACUGAACCCUCAUCUGAUGUAAAGUUACUUGAACCAAUGCUUCUUACAUUUAUGCCCCCAAAAGCUAAGGGAAACUUGACAGGGGAAAGGGUUGCUUUUGAAAGUAGUAUGGAGGAAGGGAGUCUAGGGGGUAAUGUGGGAUCUGACUCAACCUCAACAGGGAGCGAGGGAGCGGGCAUUGCCCCUCGGCAGGCAGAUCGCCACUUGUCAAAGACUUUAGCCUAUACCUUAAGACAUGGAGCCCAGAAAUACAAUUAUGAUGUACAAUCAGAUGGGUACCUGUUUGUUGAUGAAAUCUUGAGUUGUCAACCUGGUCUAAAGGGGUACUCGGACGAAGAUAUUUGUAGGGUUGUAAGAUUUGACGACAAUAAGAGGUUUAGAUUAUCAACUGAUGAUAUAACAGGUCGACUAAAGAUUAAGGCAAAUCAUGGUCACUCAAUCCCCAUACAUGAUUCUGACCUGGUAUUGAUUAAGCAGGGUGAGGUAACAAAAGCAUACCAUUGCACCAGUAUGGUGGGAUGGGAUGGGAUAGUUGGCAUGGGAAUCAAUAAGAUGGGCCGGGUUCACAUUCAUUUUAGUACCCAAGUCCCAGAUAGUCUGAAGCCGCAUUGGGAAGUAAUCGUUCAAGUCGAUAUAAAAGGAGGCUCAGCAGGACGGUUACAAGUUUUUCCGGUCCCACAGUGGACUUAUUUUGUGUUCAGGGAAUGAGGAGGGUACUCUUCCAGCAAAGUACAUUUCAUUUGCCCAGCAUUUGGAUCCCUCUGUCAGUCUUCAUGAUGACGACGAAUCAAUUGAAGCCGAACAUUCAGAUCUGAUUUGCGAAAUAGGCUCUUCAUGUAAUAGUGUGAACGAGGUUAUGUGUGUCCAUCAGGAUACCCCACAGGUUUCACAGCAGGUAAAGGGGUCAUAUGAUGUUGGGGCACGUGAGUCCGAGUCUACUCAAAGUGCAGACCCGGGGAAACAUUUCUUUGACAGCACAUGCAAGUCGACUGAAUGGGGAAAAGUUGGUCCAAAUACUGAACAGUCUGGAAAUUGGUCGGACUCCACAGGGGAUGGGGUUUCUGAAAUUGAAAACGACCCUCCCCCAGGAUAUCGCGAAGCAACUAGGGAACCUGGUGAUGAAACCUCAGGUAGUGACCUAGAUAACACUCUGGUGAAAGGCAUGCAAGACAGUAAAGGUGACCCUGAGAAUGAAGAGGGCGUGGUUACAGUCUGUCGACUUCGUUCUGGUUCAGUUUUCAGGGUACCUGUAAAGGUUCAGGGGCAGAGUUUGUUUGCAGUUGUAGACACUGCUGCAGAGGUGACACUUAUUUCAGAGGAAGUGUACAAGUCCCUGAAGGUUGUCCCCCCAGUUCUUAAGGAGGUCAUUAUGCACACGGCGGGUAGGGGUAUGCAAAUGAAUGGAUUCAUUGUGGGACCCACUGAAAUUCAGUUGGGUGCACGAGUGAUGGAAGCGAAUAUUUAUGUAGCUCCAAUCUCAGAUGACAUGCUUUUGGGCUUUGAUCUGUUAAGAGAAGAGGGAGUGGCAUUGGAUAUGUUAGAAGGGCAUUUGAAAAUCGGAGAUGAAGUUAUCCCCAUGACAUCUGGUGCGGUGGGACAAGUCCCCCGUGAAGCUAAUGUACUCUUGGAUAAGACAGUCACUGUGCCCCCGAAUUCAGUUAUGAGGGUAUCGUGUAACCUCAGUAAUGAGUUGUCAGGAUACGUGGUUGAGGCCUGUACCCAUGAUGAACUGUUAGUCCCCAGAACUUUACAGGCCCCGGGACGUCACCCUAUUAUUUGUUUGAUGAAUAUUUCGGAUAAGCACGUGACAAUUCCAGAAAAUGAGAUGAUAGCCCGGGCGAUUGAAGUUGAAAUACUUCCAGGCACGGAGUUGGGAUUGGCCCAAGGAAAUGACCCCUGGGUUUGCAAAGUUGAAGGGGAGGAUCACUCAUUGGUUGAGGAGGGUGUGCCCAAUCAUCUAAAAGAUCUGUUCGACAAGUCAAAAACCGAUCUAGAUACAGAUGGGCAAAAACAGUUAGCUUCUUUGUUGUCGGACUUUGGCGAUGUUUUUGCGGCCAAUGAAUUUGACUUGGGCAACUUCUCCCUCAUUGAACACCACAUUGAUACAGGGGACCACCCGCCUAUUAAGCAGCGAAUGAGGCGAACGCCUGUGGGGUUUGCUCAAGAGGAGGAAGCCCACUUGAAGCGAAUGCUCGAGGCGGGGGUGAUCCAACCUUCAGUGUCAGAGUGGUGCUCUGCCCCGGUCCUAGUUCGUAAGAAAGAUGGUGGGGUCAGGUGGUGCAUUGAUUACAGAGCCAUUAAUUCCUGUACGGUCAAGGAUGUAUACCCCCUACCCUUGAUUGGGGAAUGUCUAGAUACUUUGGCGGGAAACCAGUGGUAUUCAAAACUUGACGCUAAUUCUGCGUAUUGGCAGGUUAAGAUUCGGGAACAAGAUCGGUCGAAGACCGCGUUCAUUUCAAAGUACGGGCUGUUUGAAUUUGCCAGGAUGGCGUUUGGUUUAUGCAACAGUCCGGCCACGUACGCACGGGUUGUGAAUCUGGUCCUACGGGGGCUCACAUGGGACAUAGUCUUGGCGUUCUUAGACGAUAUCUUGGUAUUAGGUCAAAAUCUUGAGGCCCACUUCGCUAAUCUUAGGGCGGUGUUGCAAAGAUUCCGGGAAUUUGGGCUCAAACUAAAACCGAAAAAGUGUGAAUUGUUUCAGAAGAAAGUGGAGUUUCUAGGGAGAGUAGUAGGAGAAGGCGGUAUGGAGAUAGGUCCAGGCUAUAUUGAGGAUGUAAAAAAUUGGCCUACCCCUAACAAUAGUAAAGAUAUCGAGAGGUUCUUGGGCUUUGCUAAUUACCAUCGAUCCUUUAUUCAUGCAUAUUCAAAAAUAGCUGUCCCCCUCCAAGAGGUCACAGGUAAAAGACCAUACAGGUGGGAAACUGAACAGCAAGAGUCCUUUGACAAAUUGAAAAUGGCCUUGACUUCAGCCCCCGUACUCGCUCUACCGAAUGCCACAGAUCCCUUCAUCUUGGACUGUGAUGCCUCCGAUAAAAGUUUGGGAGCCGAGCUGAUACAGGUCCAGGAAGGAAAAGAAAGGGUUGUGGCGUAUUCAAGUUUAACACUGGCCCCAGAGCAGCAACGCUAUUGUACAACACGAAAAGAACUAUUGGCUAUUGUGAGGUUUACCCGCCAGUUUCGUCAUUAUUUGGCGGGACGUCCAUUUGUAGUCCGAACUGAUCAUUCGAGUCUCACAUGGCUCCUUAGGUUCAAGAACCCAGAGGGACAAUUGGCUAGGUGGAUGGAAGAACUCAGCCAGUACCAUAUGACUGUCCAACACAGGCAGGGUGUAAAACAUGGAAACGCUGAUGGACUUUCCAGAAUCCCGACAGAACUACCAUGCCCGGGUUUCUCUACGGAAGUAGAAUUGUCCAAUCUCCCAUGUAAAGGUUGCAAAUACUGUGCAAAAGCCCAUAGGCAGUGGUCUGGGUUUGCGGAGGAGGUAGAUUAUGUUGUACCUCUUGCUACCAAGGUUAUACCCGCACCGGAAGUCAUGAUGGUUCAGGGCCAGGCCAAUAGCCGAGGUCAAGAUUUGGAUGAAAUUCAUGUUUCAAGGGUAAUGAUACUUGUGGCAGACGGGAAUGUGGUUGUUUCUCCAGAUACAGGGGAAAUGUCCAUUUGUGUCAUUCAGGGUGACUAUGGCGUUGGUUUGGGGAAAUAUGCAGUGGAUGAGAUUUGUGAGAGUCAGGGUAAGGACCCAGAACUAAAGUGGUUGGUAAAAGGGCUGAAGGGUGAAGGUGACCCGCCGCAAGGAGACAUUUUCAGAAGUAGUCCACAUGCAAAGUUUUAUUGGGUGAAUAGGUCUAGAUUCACGAUGACAAACCGGGGAGAGGUGAUUCUCAUUCCUACGAAAGGGGAAAACCCUCGUUUAGUUGUUCCAAUAGAAUGGAGGAAUGAGAUUCUUGAGUUGUGUCAUGACAUUCCGUCCGCGGGACACCAAGGUGCAGAGCGGACAAGGGAAAAAAUAAAACAGAGUUACUAUUGGCACGGGCUGGGGGCGGAUGUUGAGAGAUAUGUAGCAAGUUGUAAACAUUGUAGCCAGAACAAGAAGGCUACCAGGUCUGCUAGGUGUCCCCAAACCCUGUACCACUCUGGUUAUCCGAUGGAGAGAGUCCAUCUGGAUUUUAUCGGACCCCUCCCCAAGACUGAGAGAGGGAAUGAGAAUGUGCUCAUGAUGGUGGACCAAUUUAGCAAAUGGGUUGAGUGUGUCCCCCUUCCAUCGCAGACUGCCGAAGUGACUGCAAGGGCAGCGGUCAAUGAGUUUUUCUGUCGCUUUGGGUACCCGUUUGAAAUCUUUACCGAUCAGGGUAGAAACUUUGAAAGUCAACUGUUCAGGGCUGUGUGUGAAUUACUGCACAUUCAUAAGGCCCGAACAACCCCAUAUCGUCCUUGUGCUAAUGGACAGGUUGAACGGUUCAAUCGAACUCUAAUGGCCGCAGUUAGGUGCUUUGUGGGAACUACUCAAAGGGCGUGGGACGAGAACAUUGCCCAAUUGGCGGGAGCAAUAAGGGCAUCAGUUAAUAGAACAACGGGGUUUACGGCUAAUAAGCUUAUGCUAGGGCGGGAAGUUAACACCCCGGCCGAGUUGAUGUUUAGACCCCCCAGGGAUGGAAGCCCUCCAGAUUUGGAUGGGUAUGUAGCAGAAUUAGUCGAGGCUAUGCAGGCAGCUCAUGAAGUUGCCAGACUAAACAUAAAGACUAGCCAACUUAGAAGUAAGAGGGAUUAUGAUUUGAGGGUUAAUCUACGCCAGUACAAUGUAGGGGACUUAGUGUACCAAUUGGACACUGCCACAACCCCGGGGAAAUGCAAGAAGCUCUGUCCUGUAUGGAAGGGCCCCGGAAUUGUGUUUCAGAGGGUCUCCGCAUACUUGUACAAGGUGAAGAUGAAAAAGUCGUUAGUAACCGCCAAUCACGAUAGGUUAAAGAUCUGUAAAGAUCGAGUACUCCCUCCUUGGUUAGUUAAGGAAAAGAAGAGACUGGAACAGGGAAACGAAGGGGUAGAGAAGAAUACCUUAGAUAACCCAGAACAAAACCCUAAACAAUCCCCUAAACAAACCCAGGAUGAUAAUCCACCCGCACCAGACCCAUUACAAGAUUCAGACGCAGGGCAAGGUGGGGAGGGCACUGAAAUAUGUAGACCUGCUCAGAGCAUAGAGGGGAAACCGUCAGGGGUACAUAAUUUUGAACCCGACCUUUUAAGCUCUCAGGAAGAAAUGUACUGCAUCUGCAGGGGCCCAGAUAUAGGGGAUUUUAUGAUUGGGUGCGACGGGUGCACCGAAUGGUUUCAUGGGAGGUGUGUGGGUAUUUCACCGCAAGAUGGUGAAGAACUAGGGGAAUACCUAUGCAAAACUUGCAAAGAGGUCCAGGUAACAAAGGGUGUGACCUCAACUCCCAUUAAACUCCGUAGGAGCGUACGCAACCGGCGCCCUACAAAAGAGUGA
rnacentral:sRNA from 1 species